GACGAACGCUGGCGGCGUGCCUAACACAUGCAAGUCGAGCGAGUUGAUUUCCUUCGGGAAUGAAGCUAGCGGCGGACGGGUGAGUAACACGUGGGCAACCUGCCUCAUAGAGGGGAAUAGCCUCCCGAAAGGGAGAUUAAUACCGCAUAAGAUUGUAGCUUCGCAUGAAGUAGCAAUUAAAGGAGCAAUCCGCUAUGAGAUGGGCCCGCGGCGCAUUAGCUAGUUGGUGAGGUAACGGCUCACCAAGGCGACGAUGCGUAGCCGACCUGAGAGGGUGAUCGGCCACAUUGGGACUGAGACACGGCCCAGACUCCUACGGGAGGCAGCAGUGGGGAAUAUUGCACAAUGGGGGAAACCCUGAUGCAGCAACGCCGCGUGAGUGAUGACGGCCUUCGGGUUGUAAAGCUCUGUCUUCAGGGACGAUAAUGACGGUACCUGAGGAGGAAGCCACGGCUAACUACGUGCCAGCAGCAGCCGCCG
rnacentral:rRNA from 1 species